rnacentral:rRNA from 1 species
UACGGAGGGUGCAAGCGUUGUUCGGAAUUAUUGGGCGUAAAGCGCGUGUAGGCGGCUUGGUAAGUCGGUUGUGAAAUCCCGGGGCCCAACCCCGGAAUGGCAGCUGAAACUGCCUCGCUAGAGUCCCGGAGAGGAAGGCAGAAUUCCCGGUGUAGGGGUGAAAUCCGUAGAUAUCGGGAGGAAUACCAGCGGCGAAGGCGGCCUUCUGGACGGUGACUGACGCUGAGACGCGAAAGCGUGGGGAGCAAACAGG